rnacentral:pre_miRNA from 1 species
AUGGUAUAAUGAGUCCAUGAUUUUGUAAGCGAGUUUGAUUUUAGUCUCUCGACGGAAAAAACGUCAGUGUUUUGCCGAAUGAUUAAAAUCAAACUUGCUUGCAUUUUGUAGGCUGCGGACUAUCUCGGCAUUCCAAGCCUUUUGGAGUUAACCUCAUGUGCCAU